AAAUUGAAGAGUUUGAUCAUGGCUCAGAUUGAACGCUGGCGGCAGGCCUAACACAUGCAAGUCGAACGGUAACAGGAAGCGCUUGCUGCUUCGCUGACGAGUGGCGGACGGGUGAGUAAUGUCUGGGAAACUGCCUGAUGGAGGGGGAUAACUACUGGAAACGGUAGCUAAUACCGCAUAACGUCGCAAGACCAAAGAGGGGGACCUUCGGGCCUCUUGCCAUCGGAUGUGCCCAGAUGGGAUUAG
rnacentral:rRNA from 1 species